UACGGAGGAUCCGAGCGUUAUCCGGAUUUAUUGGGUUUAAAGGGUGCGCAGGCGGGAGAUUAAGUCGGCGGUGAAAUUUUGCAGCUCAACUGUAAAAGUGCCUUCGAAACUGGUUUUCUUGAGUGUGGAUGAAGUAGGCGGAAUUUGUGGUGUAGCGGUGAAAUGCAUAGAUAUCACGAGGAACUCCGAUUGCGCAGGCAGCUUACUAAGCUACAACUGACGCUCAUGCACGAAGGCGUGGGGAUCAAACAGGAUUAGAUA
rnacentral:rRNA from 1 species